rnacentral:lncRNA from 7 species
CAAGCAGGUAUACCGAUCCGGGACUUGUACACAAGUUUACUGACUUGCACAAGCACAACGGUAGUUAUGACUCGCCCUGAGAAUUCUGAACAAGCACAUCAAUUGCUGCCAAAUAAGGGGGGCCACUUCCAGUGUCUUGUUCAGAAAAUGGACACGGCCAUGAAUCACAUUCUUCACCACACAGUCACGUAAUUGAGUCUCAAAAUUUGUUCUGAACAUUCAUAUCACUUCCCA